rnacentral:ncRNA from 2 species
UUGUACUAUAGAGGAGCUUUUAGCAUUAGUACAUAGUGGAGCAGGCAUGCUGGGAAACUAUGGAAAGGGUAUAAAAGCCGAAAUCUUAGCAAAGGCAUUUGCUUUGGUUGAUAAAGGGUCUUAAUCGAGCUUUAUUCUUUGACGCAUUCAUUGGUGCUAUAGAUACA